rnacentral:rRNA from 1 species
GGCUUAUUAGAUAAAAAUAAUAGGUCUAUUCUGCCCAUUGAUUUAAAAAUUAAAAGGCUGCAGUAUACUGACUGUACAAAGGUAGCAAAAUCAAUUGUUUUUUAAUUGAAAACUGGAAUGAAAGAGUGAAUGAAAUAUAAGUUGUCUCAAUAUAAAAUAAUUGAAUUUAAAUUAAAAGUUAAAAUGCUUUUAUGAAUUUAUAAGACGAUAAGACCCUAUAGAAUUUAAUAAAAUUUAUUUUUUAAAAUUAAUAUAAUUAGAAGAUUUAAUAAAUAAAUAUAUUUUGUUGGGAGGAUAAUUAAAUUAAUUAAACUUUGAUAUAAAAUAAACAUUGAUGAAUGAGUUGUUGAUUAUUGUUAUAAUUAUUAGAAUAAAUUACCUUAGGGAUAACAGCGUUAUAAUUUUGGAGAGUUCAUAUUGAUAAAAUUGUUUGCGACCUCGAUGUUGAAUUAUGAUAAAAAUUAAAUGGAGAAAUUUAGUGUUUUAGUCUGUUCGACUAUUAAAAUCAUACA